AGCACUGGGCGACCAAUGAACAGGAAGACAGAUGGUUGCCAUGGAAACUGAGCUGGAAUGGAGUGUUUGCUGCCUAAUGAUGAAAGGUUAGGGUGCUGCUACACAGACGUGUCUUAAAUGAACCCGAACAAGCAUUGUCCCCAGACAAGACCCACAGUAAACAAUGUCUUAAGGAAUUGCUGGAUCAUUUACUCUUUCUUCACUGCACAUGUAUGAAGCUGGGCCAGGCUCGGAUCCAUGCAAGACCAAGGAGAGCUCAUGACAGCACCCCUGGAGAGGACCUCCCACCGCAGGACAGGAAACCUGGGAACAUAAUAAGGGACACGCCUCUCCACACCUCAGUUUCAAAGUAAAGUACUCCAAAGGAGCCAAUGAUCAUAGAAAAAUUUUUUAAUUCUCUAAAUUCUUUAAGCAACAUAAAGAAUAUUUUUUUUUAUUCAAAAAAAAUAUGUUUUGAGGACCAUGUAGCUGCCCUACAGAUCUGGUCCAAAGAGGCUUCAGCCUUCUCU